rnacentral:tRNA from 1 species
GGGCCGAUAGUUAAAUCCGGUUAUAACGCCCCGCUGGCAGCGGGGAGGCUCCGGGUUCAAAUCCCGGUCGGUCCA